AUAGAGGUUAGCAAAUGGACGUGGUGUAUCUUUUUCAUGAAGAUGGAAAAAUUCAGGUUCCGUUUUUUGAUUAUGACAAAAAUCUUUUUG
rnacentral:tRNA from 1 species